rnacentral:rRNA from 1 species
UUCCGGUUGAUCCCGCCGGACCUGACUGCUAUCGGAUUGAUACUAAGCCAUGCGAGUCUUUGUAGUAAUACAAGGCAGACGGCUCAGUAACACGUAGUCAACCUACUCUAUGGACAAGAAUAAUCUCGGGAAACUGGGCAUAAUUCUUGAUAGAUCAUAAUGCCUGGAAUGGUUUAUGGUUAAUAUGAUUCGUCGCCAUAGGAUGGGACUGCGGCCUAUCAGCUUGUUGGUGAGGUAAUGGCCCACCAAGGCGAUUACAGGUACGGGCUCUGAGAGGAGAAGCCCGGAGAUGGGUACUGAGACACGGACCCAGGCCCUAUGGGGCGCAGCAGGCGAGAAAACUUUGCAAUGUGCGAAAGCACGACAAGGUUAAUCCGAGUGAUUUCUGCUAAAGAAAUCUUUUGCCAGUCAUAAAACCACUGGUGAAUAAGGGGUGGGCAAGUUCUGGUGUCAGCCGCCGCGGUAAAACCAGCACCUCAAGUGGUCAGGAUGAUUAUUGGGCCUAAAGCAUCCGUAGCCGGCUUUGUUAGUUUUCGGUUAAAUCCAUGUGCUCAACGCAUGGGCUGCCGAAAAUACUGCAUAGCUAGGGAGUGGGAGAGGUAGACGGUACUCAGUAGGAAGGGGUAAAAUCCUUUGAUCUAUUGAUGACCACCUGUGGCGAAGGCGGUCUACCAGAACACGUUCGACGGUGAGGGAUGAAAGCUGGGGGAGCAAACCGGAUUAGAUACCCGGGUAGUCCCAGCUGUAAACGAUGCAGACUCGAUGAUGCAUUGGCAUAAUAGCCAGUGCAGUGUCGCAGGGAAGCCGUUAAGUCUGCCGCCUGGGAAGUACGUACGCAAGUAUGAAACUUAAAGGAAUUGGCGGGGGAGCACCACAAGGGGUGAAGCCUGCGGUUCAAUUGGAUUCAACGCCGGA